rnacentral:rRNA from 1 species
GAUCCUGGCUCAGGAUGAACGCUGACAGAAUGCUUAACACAUGCAAGUCAACUUGAAUUUGGGUUUUUAACUUAGAUUUGGGUGGCGGACGGGUGAGUAACGCGUAAAGAACUUGCCUCACAGCUAGGGACAACAUUUAGAAAUGAAUGCUAAUACCUGAUAUUAUGAUUUUAAGGCAUCUUAGAAUUAUGAAAGCUAUAAGCACUGUGAGAGAGCUUUGCGUCCCAUUAGCUAGUUGG